rnacentral:rRNA from 1 species
AACGAACGCUGGCGGCGUGCCUAACACAUGCAAGUCGAACGGGAAAGCCCGCAAGGGUGAGUACAGUGGCGCACGGGUGCGUAACACGUGGUAAUCUGCCCAGAAGCCCGGAAUAACUCCCCGAAAGGGGUGCUAAUGCCGGAUGAGACCACGGGGACUUCGGUUCCUGGGGGAAAAGGUGGCCUCUGUAUACAAGCUAUCCCUUCUGGAUGAGCCCGCGGCCCAUCAGCUAGUUGGCGGGGUAAUGGCCCACCAAGGCUACGACGGGUAGCUGGUCUGAGAGGACGAUCAGCCACACUGGAACUGAGACACGGUCCAGACUCCUACGGGAGGCAGCAGUGGGGAAUCUUGCGCAAUGGGCGAAAGCCUGACGCAGCAACGCCGCGUGUGUGAUGAAGGUCUUCGGAUCGUAAAGCACUGUCGGGAGGGACGAAUAAGGGCCGGGUGAACAAUCCGGUUCGACGACGGUACCUCCAGAGGAAGCACCGGCUAACUCUGUGCCAGCCGCCGCCGUAAUAC